GUCCCGGUGGCUCAGCUGGGUAGAGGCUUGGCAAUGGUCCAGAAGGUCAAGGGUUCGAGCCCCAGUGGUGGCA